GACGGAGGGGGCUAGCGUUGUUCGGAAUUACUGGGCGUAAAGAGUGCGUAGGCGGUUUAGUAAGUUGGACGUGAAAGCCCGAGGCUUAACCUCGGAACUGCUUUCAAAACUACUAAUCUAGAGUGUAGUAGGGGAUGAUGGAAUUCCUAGUGUAGAGGUGAAAUUCUUAGAUAUUAGGAGGAACACCGGUGGCGAAGGCGGUCAUCUGGGCUACAACUGACGCUGAUGCACGAAAGCGUGGGGAGCAAACAGG
rnacentral:rRNA from 1 species